rnacentral:rRNA from 1 species
CCUGCGUGCGCUUUACGCCCAGUAAUUCCGAUUAACGCUCGCACCCUCCGUAUUACCGCGGCUGCUGGCACGGAGUUAGCCGGUGCUUCUUCUGUCGCUAACGUCAAAGAAUACCGCUAUUAACGAUACCCCCUUCCUCACGACUGAAAGUACUUUACAACCCGAAGGCCUUCUUCAUACACGCGGCAUGGCUGCAUCAGGCUUGCGCCCAUUGUGCAAUAUUCCCCACUGCUGCCUCCCGUAGGCAUCAUGCGGUAUUAGCCAUCGUUUCCAAUGGUUAUCCCCCACAUCAGGGCAAUUUCCCAGGCAUUACUCACCCGUCCGCCGCUCGUCAGCAAAGAAAGCAAGCUUCCUUCCUGUUACCGCUCGACUUGCAUGUGUUAGGCCUGCCGCCAGCGUUCAAUCUAAGCCAGGAUCAAACUCUCCAA